CUGCGCGACGUAUUAAACGGAAGCCGGGAGGCCCCAUUUCGUUUGGGUUUACGCGUCCCCCACCGCCAGAGGAGACCCGGGUUGCCUGAGAGACGUCUUUUGGCUAUUUAUCUCGCUUGAGCUGUCCCGUCACCCUGGUCGUCUGUUAGGAGUGCAGAAAUCUGGGCCAAAGCGCUGGACGAGACGAGGACCUGUUCCUCUAUGCCUCCGACUUUCUCUGGUCCCGUCUUUCUUCGGCGAGGCCGUGUCAGGUUCUGAGAAGUGCGGUUUUCACCGGGGCCGGUUUCCCCUGGAAAGCUGUGCGCUCCUGGUUGUUUUCAGUCUUCUCCGGGUGGGAGCUGGGGGAGCUCUUCUCGGGGUCCGGGGCGGUGGUGCAGGCCCUUGUGGAAGACUUGGAGUGAAAGGUCUCCCGCGAUCCCGCCCGCGAGACGCGCUCCGAGGGCACACCUCGCUCAUGGGAGUCCAGGGGCUCUGGAAGCUGCUGGAGUGCUCCGGACGGCAGGUCAACCCGGAGACGCUGGAGGGGAAGGUCCUUGCCGUGGAUAUUAGCAUCUGGUUAAACCAAGCACUUAAAGGAGUUCGGGAUCGCCAUGGGAACUCAAUGGAAAAUGCUCAUCUUCUUACUUUGUUCCAUCGGCUCUGCAAACUCUUAUUUUUUCGAAUUCGCCCUGUUUUUGUGUUUGAUGGGGACGCUCCACUACUGAAGAAACAGACGCUGGCUAAAAGAAGGCAGAGAAAGGACUUGGCAACCACUGACUCCAAAAAAACUACCGAGAAGCUUUUGAAAACAUUUUUGAAAAGACAAGUUAUCAAAACUGCCUUAAAAAGCAAAAGGGAGGAAGCACUUCCCAGUCUUACUCAAGUUCAAAGAGAAGAUGACAUCUAUGUUUUGCCACCUUUACAAGAGGCAGAGAAAAAUAGUUCAGAAGAGGAGGAUGAAAAAGAAUGGCAAGAGAGAAUGAAUCAAAAACAGGCAUUACAGGAGGCGUUCUUUCAGAAUCCUCAUGCAGUAGAUAUUGAGUCUGAAGACUUUAGCAGCCUGCCCCCUGAAAUAAAGCAUGAAAUCUUGACUGAUAUGAAAGAAUUUACCAAGCGGAGAAGAACAUUAUUUGAAGCAAUGCCGGAGGAGUCCAAUGACUUUUCACAGUACCAGCUCAAAGGCUUGCUUAAAAAAAACUAUCUAAACCAACACAUAGAAAAUGUCCAAAAGGAAAUGAAUCAACAACAUUCAGGACAAAUCCAAAGGCAAUAUGAAGAUGAAGGAGGCUUUUUGAAGGAGGUAGAGUCAAGGAGGGUGGUCUCUGAAGAUACUUCACAUUACAUCUUGAUUAAAGGUAUUCAAGCGAAGAAAGUUGCAGAAGUGGAUUCGGAGUCUCUUCCUUCAUGCAGUGAAAUGCACAGCAGGUCUUCUGACUUGAAGUCAUCUCCGUGUGAAAAGCUGGAGCCAAAGGAAGAGCCUGACGCCUCCCCUCCUUCCCCGAGAACCUUACUGGCCGUGCAGGCGGCCCUGCUGGGCGGCAGCUCAGAAGAUGAGCUGGAGAGUGAGACCUGCAGGCUGCGCCAUGAGAGGCGAGCGCCCGCCACCGCCCGUGCGGGUUCUGUGUCGCCGCUGACUCUCUUGGCCAUUCAGAGAGCUCUCGAUGACGAUGAUGAAGACGUGACAGUGCGUGCCAGGAGCGACGUGCGGACAGGAGGGGCAGGCGCGAGAAAACCGAAACCGCUCCAGAGCAGUUCUGACGAGGAGACUGAGGAAGGACCUAAAAUGAGAGACGGGGAAGGAGCGCCGUUGGCAGCAGCGUCUCACGCAGCCAGUGUGAGCCUCGCAGAGGAGCCUGUGACCAGCGCUGAUGCCGAAAAAGAGCGGACAGAAUCGGCUCACUUACCGAGGACUGCCUUUUGUCAAGGCAGCGACUCUAGCGUGCCAAAAGAGCAGAUGUCGUCUAUUCCCCCGGUGAAGGAAGCCUUUCAGACAAGCGAUGAGGCUGCAGUUACGGAUGGAAAAGACCCGGUUCCUUUGGAAAACACUGUGGUGCUACCCAGGGAUGCACCUGGGCUCCAGAGCGGACCAGAGCGGAUACCGACACCUCCAAGUCCAAGUUCCGUGUCAAGGAGUGGAACGCAUACCAAAGUGCUUGAGCUACAGCAAGGUCUUCUUCUUCCACCUGAGAGUAAAUAUGACACCUCUGUUCUUUCAAGUGAUGACGAAACAGAAUCUGAAAAAAACCCUGCUCCUGAAGGCACCGUCAGUUUGCAAAAAUCGAGUGAUACGCUAAGUGUCCCUUUAGAGACAAUAAGUGACUUAGGAAACGUGGCAUCUGUUAAUGCCGAAGAGCAUGAGAAUUUCUUGAAAACCAUCCAAGAACAUGAGACCGUUGAAUCUGCAGGCCAGGGUUUAAUUUCAGUUCCAGCCUCCAUGGAACCAACGGAAACAGACUCUGAAGAAAGUGAAUCUGACGGAAGUUUCAUUGAAGUGCAGAGUAUAAAUAGCAGUGAUGAACUUCAAGCUGAGUUACACGAAGCUUCCAGACCUCCCUCUGGACAAGAUGAAGAGGAACCAGUAGGAACUGAGAAGCAAGAAGCCACAGGUGACUCUCAGGGCCUCCCGAGAGACAACUCUGAGAGGGAGGCCGUGGACUUAGAGCCACCUGAAGAAACUGAAAAAGACGCAGACGACUUGCUCAACGAAUGGCAAGAUGUUGACCUGGAGGAGCUGGAGACGCUGGAGAGCAACCUUUUAACACAGCAGAAUUCACUGAAAGCUCAAAAACAGCAGCAAGAACGGGUCGCCGCUACUGUGACGGGACAGAUGUUCCAGGAAAGCCAGGAACUUCUUCGCCUGUUCGGCAUCCCCUACAUCGAGGCUCCCAUGGAAGCAGAAGCUCAGUGCGCCAUCCUGGAUCUGACUGAUCAAACUUCCGGAACGAUCACUGACGACAGUGACAUUUGGCUGUUUGGAGCACGGCAUGUCUAUAAAAACUUUUUUAAUAAAAACAAGUUUGUAGAAUAUUACCAGUAUGUGGACUUUCACAACCAAUUAGGAUUGGACCGGAACAAAUUAAUAAAUUUGGCCUAUUUGCUUGGAAGUGAUUAUACAGAAGGAAUACCAACUGUAGGUUGUGUUACAGCCAUGGAAAUUCUCAAUGAAUUCCCUGGACAUGGCCUGGAACCUCUCCUGAGAUUCUCGAAAGGUCUUGAUGUGAGUCUAAUAAGCACUAAUAAUUAAGGGAUGUGUGUGGCAGUGCAUCCUCAUACGUGAAAUUGAUGAAGAGACUUUGCAGCUGAGGAUUAUCCUGGCUACACCAAGACUAACAAAGAAAUGAAGGAACAAAGCCCAUGAACCCAGGAGACGUGGAAGUUACUCAGACAUAAGGACAGUAUUGCACUUGAUUCUUGUCUCUCUCCCUGGGGAGGAGAGAGAUGAACAGUUCUGUGCAUCAAUCAAAGUAAUUGAGACUUCGAGUGGGAGAACCUGUCACCAAGUCCAGAAGACACUACAGAACUCAGAACCUUUUCCAAAUAGAAAGAGUCCAUCUGAGCGGUGGUAAACAAGAUGUUGAAGUCUGCAAAAUGGAAAACAAAUUAUGCAGAGGAAUUGUGUGCAAUGACUUAGAAAGAAAAAAAAAAAUGGACACUUUUUAACCCACUCCUGCUUCUUUAAUUGUUUUGGCAUGUGAGAAUCAGAGAGUCACGCAGGUAAGCAAAUGUUAACUUUCCAGAAGCCUGCCACUUGGAGGCUCAGAUCCAUUUCUGGUGUAGCUCCAUGCUGCAGCCAAGCCACAAUAGCACACAGCAAGUACGUGUUGUUAUGUGUGAAAUGACUGAAGGUGAUUUUGAACUUUUCACUGAAGUGAGUGUCCUGGGUUAAAGACUUCCACCAAGACUGCAAUGAACCACACAAAACCGUCUCUAGAAUUCAGCCUAUCGCUCCUAACUGAGGUUGGACACCACUAGAGGAUUACAAAGUGAUAUUUGACAGCAAAGACUUUUGCAGUAUCAUUUGUUUGGGUUAUUAAGAGUGAACAUAUAAAUGUUUCCUUUUUUUUUUAUUGCUUUCCCAUACUUUUAUGAGUUUGGAAGGAAAACUUCAGAAAAAUACUGUGAUAAGAGUCAGUAAAUUUUCUGCAGAGAGUUUAAUGGGAUAGUUAAAAUUUCUUAAAUAAAGCAUUGUCUCUCACCGCAGACAUGGCCGUUCUCCCAGUUAUGGAUGGAAGGAGACUGCUAAAAGCACCACAACCCUGCGAAUACCCAAAACAGUACCGAAAAUUGCUGAUGCUGUCAUGUUUCACAGAUGCAGCCGCUGAGGCUGGUAGAGGAUAAAUAACAACCCCCGGGUCACACUGCACUGGUAGUAAGUGACAGAACCAUACUUAGAUUCCAGGUGCUCGAACUCUAAACCACUAUGUUACAUUUAUUCAACAGAUAUUUCCCGAGAUCCCAGUUAUUUCUUAGUCCGUAUAUGAUACUGCUCAUAUUGGUGGUUGAAUCGUACAAUAUCAGACAUAGCUCUGCUCUUAAGUUGCUUCUCCUAUUGUCAGGGGAGAUAAGACAUGUUUCCACAAAAACUCACCAAAAUAGAAGGCAGUAAACAAGAUGUGAAGACUUAAGAGGUAGGCAUUUUAAACAAGGUAGGCUCACGUUUUGGGCCCCAAUCACUUGUCUUUUGAAGCAUAAAACAUGAUAUUGAUAAAAGAAAUGUUCACGUAUUGAAGUAUGGGGAAGUCUUUCUGGCUUAUACAUGAGUUAACUUGAACUUUAUGCUAACUAAAACAGCCUGUUUGUGGCCUAUCAAACGCACAUUGUACAUCUGCUGGAAUUAUUAAAAGAAAGGGCGCAUUGACCAGAGGUAAAAAAAUGUCCAUGUUAAAAAUGAAGAUCAAAUGCCUUCCUUCCUGGGAUGCCAAGGCCGGGACUCCUUCCAUGAUGACUCCCUUCCCCGGGGCCAAGGCCAUCCUGACUCACUGUGUAGGUGCUGAUCUGUUUUGCUGAAACAUUGAAGGAAUGUAUCUCUGACUUGUUUGGUGUUAUUUGUUCUGACAAGACGUAAAACUGUGCUGAAACCGUGCUUCCCUGGAGCAGUUCCUCAGAGUUAUAUGAGAGGCUGGCUUCCGGGCUAUAGUCCUCAGCUUGGCUGAAAUAAAACUCCUGUCUGUCUAUUCCUAUUAUAGAUUGUUGACUGAUUAUUUUCGUCGACAGUAUCAUUCCACCAGGACAGGCAAACCUACUUGAGGAGAGAAGAUACAGCAUUUGUAUGAAUGUUGCAGCUCUGCUGCAUUUCUGAAGACCCUGAUGUGAUCAGGGAGGACUCCACAGAGGAGGUGAGACUCGAGUGGAACCUCCAAGGAUGACGAAACUUGGAUAUCUGGAGAGGCGAGGAGAAGGUGUCAGAGGCUACAGAAAUGGUUCACAUUAAGGUGUGGAGUCAAGUGUAUAUGAGGAGUGAUGGUAAAAUAUUGAAGAGGGUCGGCCUUAUUGGAGAAUAAGUUUUCUGGGGAAGGAAUGCCAGAUAAGACUAGAAACUUCUAAUGACCCACGGUGAGCACCUGGUAGGAAGAGGAAGCAGAAUGCAAGGGGAAGAGAAGAUGCACAAUUCACCUCACAGAAUGGCCUGGGGUUGCUCUGUUUACAUAUUAGUCCUUUUGUCUAGAAUCUUUCCCCUGAAACUCUUAUUAUUAAGCAACAAAGCUAAAUGAAUACUGAAAUAAUUAUCUGAAAAAACAAGGGAUAAAGAUUGGGGAAUUAUUUCCAUAAACAGCAGGGUAUUUCCUGAGGCCAAAAAAUGUGAGUUAUUUCCUUUAUUAUUUUUAAUACUUUACGAAAUGCCUGCUAGUCCUUGGAGGGUCAAAAAUAAACUCUUAUCUUCAGUUAUUCUUCUUAUCUUUGAAACUUAUCCGAUAAGAGCAUUUUCAACUUUUGAGUUGUAAGAACAACAUCCUUAAUAAAAUUAUAUUGUACUUUCUUUGA